UUUAUUAGAAGAGACGCAUUUAUUAGAUAAAAAGCCAAUGCAUGCUUUUACAGUAUGGAAAUUGGUGAUUUAUAAUAACUUGGCAAAUCGCAAAGUGAAAACAGGCGAUAAAUCAUUCAAGUUUCUGACCUAUCAGCUUUCGACGGUAUGGUAUUGGCUUACCGUGGCAGUGACGGUUAACGGGGGAUUAGGGUUCGAUUCCGGAGAGGGAGCCUGAGAAACGGCUACCACAUCUAAGGAAGGCAGCAGGCGCGCAAAUUACCCAAUUCUAACAGUUUGAGAGAGGUAGUAACAAGAAAUAACAAUACAAGGCAAUUAAAAUGCUUUGUAAUUGGAAUGAUAGAAAUUUAAACCCUUUUUAAAGUAUCAAUUGGAGGGCAAGUCUGGUGCCAGCAGCCGCGGUAAUUCCAGCUCCAAUAGCGUAUAUUAAAAUUGUUGCAGUUAAAAAGCUCGUAGUUGAAGUUCUGCUAAAAGUAACCGGUCUGCUUUUAAUAAAAGUGGUAUCUUGGUGUGUAUUUAGCAAUGAUGUCCUUUGAAGUGUUUUUUACUUUAUUGUAAUAAAGCAUAUUCAGGACUUUUACUUUGAGAAAAUUAGAGUGUUUCUAGCAGGCCGACGCUUUGAAUA
rnacentral:rRNA from 1 species